GAUCGCUGCAGGGCACGUUUGCUUGUGACACAUGACACUUGCCCGGGAAGUCAGGCCACUGUCCUUUCCAGCCCCACCUCCCACUCCCCAGUUUUAUCUUUUGACAGUCUCACAGCUGGCCAGACUGGAACUCACUAUAUAGACCGGGUUGGCCUUGAACUCACAGAGAUUGAUCUGCCUUUGCCUCCCAAGUGCUGGAAUUAAAGGCAUGAACCAAGUAGCAUACAUAGCUCCUACCGCCGAUAUUUUAAAAAUUAAAAAAGACUGACUUUUAGAACAGCCAGGUCUUAUAACUGCAAAAGGAACAGAAUCCAGAGUCUCCCACACUCACUCUCAUUUUCCAGGUGGGAGAACCCCUGUUUUAGAACACAUUUGUGGACACCCCCGCGCCACACACACACACACACACACACACACACACACACACACACACACACACACACACACGGGGGUGGGAUAGGCUCAGAUUAGGAGACACAGUUUUAAAGGCAGCUGCAGAGAAAAGUACUGUGUUUGUCUCUAGGGCUCCCAGGCCUAAGCGAUGGGAUGGCUUUCUUUCCUGACAUUCAGAUCUGCCACUUGCUAGGAGACAUCGGAUGGGGCGGCGAGAUGAAAUGCUUCUGCAGGAGAAGACUAGGAGAGGAUGGAUAAACAGACUCCUGUACAAGGAGGCCUGACAGAGGCCUGGACUGGACACCUACUUGGUGAACAAAUAGUACAUUCAAAAUGUUGGGCAACUGCCUCCUCCACUUGUUUCCAAACAUCUCUAUGGCUCCAAAGAAGACAGGGACCAAUCCAUCACUGUCUUCAAAACACCUCCGAAGCUGAUGAUCCCUGUCAGGGACCCAGCGAGGCUUGGAACUCCAGGACAGUGUCUCUUUUCUCCUGCACCCGUCUGCCUCAAUGGCUCUCAUUAAACAACUUUCUGCCGGCUUUGAAGGACUCCUCUGCCAUCCUGGGUCUGAAACACUUACGAAGAAAGAAAGAAAAUGAUGGAGUUGGGAGGGCUAGGCAGCCCCUUCCCUAGUUAGUCCCAAAAGACAGGCUAAAUAGCUCUCCAUUUCCUGCAGUCAGUGGAGGGCCUAUGGAGUAAUGGACCAGGAGUGCAGCUACCCUGAUUUCAAGGCUGUUUGGCUGCUAAGGAUGAUGGGAGUUGUUUUGGGAAUAUCCCUGGUACAGAUCCCAGGAGGCAUAAUAUGACUUUGUUAUAAAUGAUACAACAUUGCACUCUGGUAUAUAGUUGAUCUAGAUCUAUGUUAAUAUAAGUAAUAAACUUUACUGACUACGUUA